GCCAGAUUGUGUUGGAAAACUGGUUCUCAUAUGAUCACCAAAGUUAAGCAGUGUCAAGUCUGGUCAGUACCUAGAUAGGCAACCACUUGGGAAUACCUAGUGCU